UGGUUGCCAUGGUGACCACUCUUGCCAAGAAUACAACAACAAUUAAGCUACCCUGCUAUCAUACAGCUAGCAAAAGUUCGACACCCUUAGACCCCUCCUGCCAGCCGUGGGCCCAAACAGGAAGUGACUCGGCAAAAAAUACAUAUAAACAACUUCUGGAAACUUCUGCGACGACCACGUGUGAUCAUCGCUCAUAAGUGACGUCAUGCGGUUCAUAUUUCCGUGAGUGCUAAUCAAGCGGCUUUUUAUUGGUGAAUUGCAAUCACUCCAGUUAGCCACGCCCCUUCUGCUACAUAGCCCAGAUGGUGACUACUGAGAGUAGUAAGUGUCCAUCACUGCACACUCAGCGUUCCCAGUACCAAUCGGUCCACGGACCGGUGGUUGGGGACCACUGCACUAAUCCACACCCUCUGUGCUUGUGAGAGCGACACCUAUGAUUACACCACGCUGCACGGCAAACUCCGCCCCCAACACGUUGCACAUGCACUCACCCGCCAGCAGGUGCACGGACGGAAAAUUGCGCUCCAGUUUGAGCAACAAGACACUGACGAAGCCAUCGGCACUGAGAGAGGACGGGUCCGAGGAACUCUGAUCAUACACAACAACCUCAUGGUGGGCCUGCAACUCCAACUGAACACACACACACACACACACACACACACACAUUAGGCCCAGCAGGUGGUAAGGUGUGUGUAGCAGGAAGUGCAAGAGGUUCUGACCUUGUUGCUGGCCGAGUGCUGGAGCAGUUCUGUGAUGUGGACUUUGUCCUGCAGAAGUCUCCUCUUCAUCAGUUUGGAACAGUUGACGUUGACGGCGUCCAGGAUGUGUGAGGUGUUGUAGUCCACAAAGGGUCUGCUGUCAAUCAGAACCACGCGGUCCAGACCGCCCUCCAGCAGCGCCACCAGACCCUCUGCCCUGAUGGGCCGCACACUGCCGGGCCUCAGCAUGCCCGCUCGUGUCCCCGGUCCCAGGCAAGAUUUACAGUACUGCAGACCCUUCACUACUCAUUACCGCCCUGCCUACUUGUAGCUCCGCCCACCAAUCGUCGCUUCCGCCUUGCUGUGUCAAUGCAGCCACGUGGCGAAGGUUUCACAGGAAGACAGCUUUCAUGAUGCCAGACACGUAUGUUGUCAUCCUUAUGGCGUCUGGACCUCAGCCCUCCCCAUACCCCUUCCCCUUCCCCCCCGACAGGCGCCGCUGUCCUCAGAACUGCCCAGUGCGUGUCGGAGGGGGAGGAGUCAAAAGUCAAGUGGUGAUGACAUCAUCAUGGGACUUGCUGGCGGCACGGACGCUUUCUCACUGUGGGAGUAAAAAAAGAAGGAAGUGAGAGUGGCAUUCUGCGGUGCCCUCGUGUCAUCAAGCCUUUUCAAAGUGGCGAGCACACUUUAAACGCCACUAGACCGUCGCAAUCAUCAAUAACCACCAUCAUGCCCAUCUCAGACUCCUCCCACGGCCAGGUGAGCGCUACCAUUCUCACCUGACAAAGGUUCAAGUGUGCCGCCAAUCAGGACUUUGACCUGCUGGUUCAACCUGAUCAGAGUGGGCGGGGCUGGCUGGUGGCCAAUCA